GGUCAGGAUUAACGCUGGCGGCGUGCCUAAUACAUGCAAGUCGAAUGGUAGUAGCAAUACAAACCAUGGCGAACGGGUGAGUAACACGUAGGCAACCUGACUUUAAGACGAGGAUAACCGUUGGAAACGACGGAUAAUACUGGAUAGGACAUCAGAAAGGGCAUCCUUAGAUGUUUAAAGGUUAUUAUGCCACUUAGAGAGGGGCCUGCGGCGCAUUAGCUAGUUGGUGAGAUAACAGCCCACCAAGGCGAUGAUGCGUAGCCGGACUGAGAGGUUGAACGGCCACAAUGGAACUGAGAACGGUCCAUACUCCUACGGGAGGCAGCAGUAGGGAAUUUUCGGCAAUGGGCGCAAGCCUGAACCCGAGCAACGCCGCGUGAACGAAGAAGUUAUUCGUAAUGUAAAGUUCUUUUAUCUGGGAAGAAAAACAAAUUGACGGUACCAGAUGAAUAAGCUCCGGCUAACUACGUGCCAGCCGCAGC
rnacentral:rRNA from 1 species